UGGGGAAUAUUGGACAAUGGGCGCAAGCCUGAUCCAGCCAUGCCGCGUGAGUGAUGAAGGCCCUAGGGUUGUAAAGCUCUUUCACCGGUGAAGAUAAUGACGGUAACCGGAGAAGAAGCCCCGGCUAACUUCGCGCCAGCAGCCGCGGUAAUACGAAGGGGGCUAGCGUUGUUCGGAUUUACUGGGCGUAAAGCGCACGUAGGCGGACUUUUAAGUCAGGGGUGAAAUCCCGGGGCUCAACCCCGGAACUGCCUUUGAUACUGGAAGUCUUGAGUAUGGUAGAGGUGAGUGGAAUUCCGAGUGUAGAGGUGAAAUUCGUAGAUAUUCGGAGGAACACCAGUGGCGAAGGCGGCUCACUGGGCCAAUACUGACGCUGAGGUGCGAAAGCGUGGGGAGCAAACAGU
rnacentral:rRNA from 1 species